CUACGGGUUGCUCCAGUGGGGAAUAUUGCACAAUGGAGGAAACUCUGAUGCAGCAACGCCGCGUGGAGGAUGACACUUUUCGGAGCGUAAACUCCUUUUAUAUAGGAAGAAGAUGACGGUACUAUAUGAAUAAGCGCCGGCUAACUCCGUGCCAGCAGCCGCGGUAAUAAGGAGGGCGCAAGCGUUACUCGGAAUCACUGGGCGUAAAGAGCGUGUAGGCGGAUUAAAAAGUCAGAAGUGAAAUCCUAUAGCUUAACUAUAGAACUGCUUCUGAAACUCUUAAUCUAGAAUAUGGGAGAGGUAGAUGGAAUUUCUGGUGUAGGGGUAAAAUCCGUAGAGAUCAGAAGGAAUACCGAUUGCGAAGGCGAUCUACUAGAACAUUAUUGACGCUGAGACGCGAAAGCGCGGGGAGCAAACAGGAUUAGAUACCCUCGUAGUC
rnacentral:rRNA from 1 species